AAAUUACAGCCUGAGCCACGCUCGAUGUACCCGCCAGCUUUGGGGUGAGGGCACUGUGCCCCCUGACUGGCACUGCCUCCUCACGGGUACAGCAAACUCUUUUUUUUACCAGCACUUUCACCCAGUCCCAAGCACAAACUGGAAUUCCUGAGCAGAUUGCACAGACCUGACACUAACUGGCAGCAGCUUUGUUGUGUUCUCCAAGAGUACGAUGUGUAUUAAUAGAAUAUGGAAAAAAAUAAUAUGUAAAUGAUGAACAGUUCUGAAUCUUCAAGGGGAAAGCCCAGCUCUGCUCUGGGAAGGGCACGCAACCAAAACAGCUGCAGCACCGUGAGAACUUGCACCGAAAACCUGAAAGCUGCCAGCAAGCAGCAUCAGCUGCCAGGAAAGGGGCGAUCGGUCUGCAGACAAAGCAGUUGGCUUCAUUACGACUUUACCAGCAGAGGCUGGAUCUGAGGUUUGAUCCAGACUCACUACCCCUUCAGGAAGGUGCACACCGGAUGAAUUAAACCAGAUGAUUAACCACAGUAGAACUACAUUUUUCUGUGUGUAGUGUUGUAUCGAUUCAACCCUGCUCUGAAUUUAGGCAGUAGGUUUACAUGCGUAGUCACCAUUCCAGACAACAUGGAAGGAAAUCCAUCCCCCACCUCCUCCCUUUGGGUUCUGAUAUCUG
rnacentral:lncRNA from 1 species